rnacentral:rRNA from 1 species
GACGAACGCUGGCGGCGUGCUUAACACAUGCAAGUCGAACGCUGAAGCUUGGUGCUUGCACUGGGUGGAUGAGUGGCGAACGGGUGAGUAAUACGUGAGUAACCUGCCCUUGACUCUGGGAUAAGCCUGGGAAACUGGGUCUAAUACUGGAUACGACAUGCCACUGCAUGGUGGUGUGUGGAAAGGGUUUUACUGGUUUUGGAUGGGCUCACGGCCUAUCAGCUUGUUGGUGGGGUAAUGGCCUACCAAGGCGACGACGGGUAGCCGGCCUGAGAGGGUGACCGGCCACACUGGGACUGAGAUACGGCCCAGACUCCUACGGGAGGCAGCAGUGGGGAAUAUUGCACAAUGGGCGGAAGCCUGAUGCAGCGACGCCGCGUGAGGGAUGACGGCCUUCGGGUUGUAAACCUCUUUCAGCACUGAAGAAGCGAGAGUGACGGUACUUGCAGAAGAAGCGCCGGCUAACUACGUG